rnacentral:lncRNA from 1 species
AGGCAUGUGAGGAAUUAUUCCACAAGAUGUCUAGUGUUAAAAGAAAACUACUGAUGCUAUUACUCUGUCCAAAGCAGAGAGGUGCCUAUCGAAACCUAUUGAAAACUUCCGUCAGAGCUGAAGGGGCUUGCAACACCAUAAAAACAACAAUACCAAUCAACCAGAGCUCCCAGGGACCAAACCACUAUCCAAAAAGUUCGCACGGCUCCAGCUGCAUAUGUAGCAGAGGAUGACCUUGUUGAUCACCAAUGCCCUUAAACUGGAAGCCACCUAUGCAUCAGUGAACAAGAGAAUGGACACAGAAAUUUACACAGAUAGACCCUGAAAUAUUACACUUCAAAGAGAAAAGACUCAUCAUAAACAUAUGCAAACAUAUGCAAAAAUUUUGCUCACAGUAGCAGAAUGACCAAAACAACUGUUUGUAAGUUAAUAUGUUCUAUAUUAUUGUACUUAUACAAAGGAUCAACGUGAGCUAGCUCA